rnacentral:tRNA from 1 species
GCCUCCUUAGCGCAGUAGGUAGCGCGCGUCAGUCUCAUAAUCUGAAGGUCGUGAGUUUGAUCCUCACAGAUCUUUACAGGCA